GUGAAUCAUCGAAUUUUUGAACGCAAAUUGCGCCUUUUUCGGAAGGCAUGUCUGUUUGAGGGCACCAUUUAACAAAUAAUGUGCAGCGUUUUUUGUUGCAUACGUUGAUGAGCUUUCCAAGAAUUUUAAAUUUUUGGUGGCGCAUAAUGAACAGCGUGAAGCUUUUUUUUCAUUUCGGGGGUGGUAAAAUCUUGUUUGGGUUUUGGAAAAGCUUAUU
rnacentral:misc_RNA from 1 species